GACGAACCGUGCGAACGUUGUUCGGAAUCACUGGGCUUAAAGGGCGCGUAGGCGGCCGGCCAAGUCAGGGGUGAAAUCCUGCAGCUCAACUGUAGAAGUGCCUUUGAUACUGGCUGGCUCGAGGGAGGCAGGGGUCUGUGGAACUUCUGGUGGAGCGGUGAAAUGCGUUGAUAUCAGAAGGAACGCCGGUGGCGAAAGCGACGGACUGGACCUCUUCUGACGCUGAGGCGCGAAAGCUAGGGUAGCGAACGGGAUUAGAUACCCUUGUAGU
rnacentral:rRNA from 1 species